CCGGCCGGGGAGUUAGCGGUGCCCUGCACCUGCAAUCCGCUGCAGCAGGGGUGGUUUCCCAUUUUGAGGGAUGAUUUUGUGUGGUCUGCGCCGUAUCGCCCCCGCGAUGACGGGUGGGUCUCGUGCAAUCGGUGGCUGUGAAUCAUGUCAGGCGGGGAACCGAGCAGCAUUAAGCAGUUUAACCGAUGUGCCACGAGGCGGCCUGCCCCGAGCGGGGAAUACGGCUC
rnacentral:SRP_RNA from 1 species